CUACGGGCCGCAGCAGUGAGGAAUAUUGCACAAUGGGGGGAACCCUGAUGCAGCAACGCCGCGUGGAGGAUGACGCAUUUCGGUGUGUAAACUCCUUUUAUAUGUCAAGAAAAUGACGGUAGCAUAUGAAUAAGCACCGGCUAACUCCGUGCCAGCAGCCGCGGUAAUACGGAGGGUGCAAGCGUUACUCGGAAUCACUGGGCGUAAAGGACGCGUAGGCGGGUUGGAAAGUCAGGUGUGAAAUCCUACAGCUUAACUGUAGAACUGCACUUGAAACUUCUAAUCUAGAGUAUGGGAGGGAGAGAUGGAAUUAGGGGUGUAGGGGUAAAAUACGUAGAUAUCACUAGGAAUACCUAAAGCGAAGGCGAUCUCCUGGAACAUUACUGACGCUAAGGCGUGAAAGCGUGGGGAGCAAACAGGAUUAGAUACCCGUGUAGUC
rnacentral:rRNA from 1 species